GGACUAAUUUAGUACGUAGGCGCCAGGGACGACGAGUCGUGCAAGCUGCUGAUACGGGCCAGUAGUAUCUUUUGAAGAUUUCUACUUCC
rfam:Glossina morsitans morsitans, isolate Yale, WGS project CCAG01000000 data, contig: ctg10000251